rnacentral:rRNA from 1 species
ACGAACUUAUACCUUGCUUGCAAGGUAAGCGGUUAGUGGCGGACUGGUGAGUAACACGUAAGGAACCUGCCUAUUAGAGAGGAAUACCAGUGAGAAAUCACUGCUAAUACCUCAUAUGCCUUAUUUAUCGCAUGAUAAAAGAGGGAAAGGAGCAAUCCACUAAUAGAUGGCCUUGCGCCUGAUUAACUAGUUGGUGAGAUAAAAGCCCACCAAGGUAACGAUCAGUAGCCGAACUGAGAGGUUGAACGGCCACAUUGGGACUGAGAUACGGCCCAGACUCCUACGGGAGGCAGCAGUCGGGAAUAUUGCGCAAUGGAGGAAACUCUGACGCAGUGACGCCGCGUAUAGGAAGAAGGUUUUCGGAUUGUAAACUAUUGUCGAUAGGGAAGAAAAAAGACUGUACCUAUCAAGAAAGCUCCGGCUAACUACGUGCCAGCAGCCGCGGUAAUACGUAGGGAGCAAGCGUUAUCCGGAAUUAUUGGGUGUAAAGGGUGCGUAGACGGGAUGUCAAGUUAGUUGUGAAAUACCUCGGCUCAACUGAGGAACUGCAACUAAAACUAACAUUCUUGAGUGCAGGAGAGGAAAGUGGAAUUCCUAGUGUAGCGGUGAAAUGCGUAGAUAUUAGGAAGAACAUCGGUGGCGAAGGCGACUUUCUGGACUGUAACUGACGUUGAGGCACGAAAGUGUGGGGAGCAAACAGGAUUAGAUACCCUGGUAGUCCACACUGUAAACGAUGGAUACUANGUGUAGGGGGUACUAAGCCUUCNGUGCCGUCGCUAACG